GCUGCGAGGCUGCACAGACGAAUCCUGGAAGG
rnacentral:scRNA from 1 species